UACGAGGGGGGCAAGCGUUGCUCGGAAUCACUGGGCGUAAAGGGUGCGUAGGCGGGUCUUUAAGUCAGGGGUGAAAUCCUGGAGCUCAACUCCAGAACUGCCUUUGAUACUGAAGAUCUUGAGUCCGGGAGAGGUGAGUGGAACUGCGAGUGUAGAGGUGAAAAUUCGUAGAUAUUCGCAAGAACACCAGUGGCGAAGGCGGCUCACUGGCCCGGUACUGACGCUGAGGCACGGAAAGCGUGGGGAGCAAACAGGG
rnacentral:rRNA from 1 species